rnacentral:rRNA from 1 species
GCAUAUCAAUAAGCGGAGGAAAAGAAACUAACAAGGAUUCCCCUAGUAGCGGCGAGCGAAGCGGGAAAAGCUCAAAUUUGUAAUCUGGCGUCUACGACGUCCGAGUUGUAAUCUCGAGAAGUGUUUUCCGUGAUAGACCGCAUACAAGUCUCUUGGAACAGAGCGUCAUAGUGGUGAGAACCCAGUACACGAUGCGGAUGCCUAUUACUUUGUGAUACACUUUCGAAGAGUCGAGUUGUUUGGGAAUGCAGCUCAAAUUGGGUGGUAAAUUCCAUCUAAAGCUAAAUAUUGGCGAGAGACCGAUAGCGAACAAGUACCGUGAGGGAAAGAUGAAAAGCACUUUGGAAAGAGAGUUAACAGUACGUGAAAUUGUUGGAAGGGAAACACAUGCAGCCAGACUUGCUAUUCGGGGCAACUCGAUUGGCAGGCCCGCAUCAGUUUUUCGGGGCGGAAAAUCAUAGAGAGAAGGUAGCAAUUUCGGUUGUGUUAUAGCUCUUUAUUGGAUUCGCCCUGGGGGACUGAGGAACGCAGCGUGCUUUUAGCAUAAGCUUCGGCUUAUCCACGCUUAGGAUGCGGGUGUAAUGGCUGUAUAUGACCCGUCUUGAAACACGGACCAAGGAGUCUAACAUGCUUGCGAGUAUUUGGGUGUCAAACCC